rnacentral:rRNA from 3 species
UGAAGAGUUUGAUCAUGGCUCAGAUUGAACGCUGGCGGCAGGCCUAACACAUGCAAGUCGAACGGUAACAGGAAGCAGCUUGCUGCUUCGCUGACGAGUGGCGGACGGGUGAGUAAUGUCUGGGAAACUGCCUGAUGGAGGGGGAUAACUACUGGAAACGGUGGCUAAUACCGCAUAACGUCGCAAGACCAAAGAGGGGGACCUUCGGGCCUCUUGCCAUCAGAUGUGCCCAGAUGGGAUUAGCUUGUUGGUGAGGUAACGGCUCACCAAGGCGACGAUCCCUAGCUGGUCUGAGAGGAUGACCAGCCACACUGGAACUGAGACACGGUCCAGACUCCUACGGGAGGCAGCAGUGGGGAAUAUUGCACAAUGGGCGCAAGCCUGAUGCAGCCAUGCCGCGUGUAUGAAGAAGGCCUUCGGGUUGUAAAGUACUUUCAGCGGGGAGGAAGGUGUUGUGGUUAAUAACCGCAGCAAUUGACGUUACCCGCAGAAGAAGCACCGGCUAACUCCGUGCCAGCAGCCGCGGUAAUACGGAGGGUGCAAGCGUUAAUCGGAAUUACUGGGCGUAAAGCGCACGCAGGCGGUCUGUCAAGUCGGAUGUGAAAUCCCCGGGCUCAACCUGGGAACUGCAUUCGAAACUGGCAGGCUUGAGUCUUGUAGAGGGGGGUAGAAUUCCAGGUGUAGCGGUGAAAUGCGUAGAGAUCUGGAGGAAUACCGGUGGCGAAGGCGGCCCCCUGGACAAAGACUGACGCUCAGGUGCGAAAGCGUGGGGAGCAAACAGGAUUAGAUACCCUGGUAGUCCACGCCGUAAACGAUGUCUACUUGGAGGUUGUGCCCUUGAGGCGUGGCUUCCGGAGCUAACGCGUUAAGUAGACCGCCUGGGGAGUACGGCCGCAAGGUUAAAACUCAAAUGAAUUGACGGGGGCCCGCACAAGCGGUGGAGCAUGUGGUUUAAUUCGAUGCAACGCGAAGAACCUUACCUGGUCUUGACAUCCACAGAACUUUCCAGAGAUGGAUUGGUGCCUUCGGGAACUGUGAGACAGGUGCUGCAUGGCUGUCGUCAGCUCGUGUUGUGAAAUGUUGGGUUAAGUCCCGCAACGAGCGCAACCCUUAUCCUUUGUUGCCAGCGAUUAGG